UUUAACACCAAUUAAGCUGACCUGAGCAGCUGAUCAAGGAUCACCAGAAACUGCAGAACUUUGGUCCUCAAUGCCCAGGACUGGAAACCAGAGUUUUACAGUUAAAUAAAACCAAAAGCCAUUCAGCCACAGGUCACUGCAUCUUUUGCUGUAUGCUGGAGAAAAAGCAGCCAGGCUAAAGCAUUUAAAGUGGAAAUUUUUGUUGUGGCUCAAAAAUCCAGGAUUGGGAUGGUGGAAGGAGCAGAAGAAGCAGAAGACCAGAGAUCAGGCAGAGAUCUACUGAUGCCCCUGAGGGAACCGAUAAACUAAUGUGUUAGUUAAACCAAAAAUUUUAAGCGCUCACCUUCAUGUCUUUCCAAACCUGUAAAACUUUUGGUCAUCUUUGAAACAUAAAUGUAGAUCUUUUUAAUAAAAUCUGAGAAAUUUCUGUCCCUCUAUUUCACAGUUUAAGCAACUACCACUUUCGAGCCUCAGAAAGGUAGUAUAGACAGCAUUAAAGUAAUCUAUGUGACUCCAGUUGUUUAACCUUAAGUUUAUGAAGUGAUGUGAAUGGUUUAUAUGCACAAAAAACAUUGCAUUUUUAUUCACACAUAAAAAAAAAAAAUCUUAUGGUGCUGUUGUGAAAAU